UGACGGAUGGGCAUGCGGCGCAUUAGGUAGUUGGUAGGGUAACGGCCUACCAAGCCGACGAUGCGUAGGGGUUCUGAGAGGAAGGUCCCCCACAUUGGAACUGAGACACGGUCCAAACUCCUACGGGAGGCAGCAGUGAGGAAUAUUGGUCAAUGGCCGGAAGGCUGAACCAGCCAAGUCGCGUGAGGGAAUAAGGCCCUAUGGGUCGUAAACCUCUUUUGUCAGGGAGCAAAGGCGUCCACGUGUGGACGAGAGGAGAGUACCUGAAGAAAAAGCAUCGGCUAACUCCGUGCCAGCAGCCGCGGUAAUACGGAGGAUGCGAGCGUUAUCCGGAUUUAUUGGGUUUAAAGGGUGCGUAGGCGGAGUGUCAAGUCAGCGGUAAAAUUUCGGGGCUCAACCCCGUCGUGCCGUUGAAACUGACACCCUUGAGUGAGUGAGAAGUAAGCGGAAUGCGUGGUGUAGCGGUGAAAUGCAUAGAUAUCACGCAGAACGCCGAUUGCGAAGGCAGCUUACCGGCGCUCAACUGACGCUGAGGCACGAAAGUGCGGGUAUCGAACAGGAUUAGAUACCCUGGUAGUCCGCACAGUAAACGAUGAAUGCUAGAUGUCCGGGGCGAAUGAGCUCUGG
rnacentral:rRNA from 1 species